UACAGAGGUCUCAAGCGUUGUUCGGAUUCAUUGGGCGUAAAGGGUGUGUAGGUGGCGCGCUAAGUCGGGUGUGAAAUUUCGGAGCUUAACUCCGAAACUGCAUUCGAUACUGGCGUGCUUGAGGACUGGAGAGGAGACUGGAAUUCAUGGUGUAGCAGUGAAAUGCGUAGAUAUCAGGAGGAACACCGGUGGUGUAGACGGCUCUCUGGACAGUAACUGACGCUGAGACACGAAAGCGUGGGUAGCAAACAGG
rnacentral:rRNA from 1 species